UACGGGGGGAGCAAGCGUUGUUCGGAUUUACUGGGCGUAAAGGGCGAGUAGGCGGCCACCGCAAGUCAAUUGUGAAAUCUCCGGGCUUAACUCGGAAAGGUCAACUGAUACUGCGGGGCUAGAGUGCGGAAGGGGCAACUGGAAUUCUCGGUGUAGCGGUGAAAUGCGUAGAUAUCGAGAGGAACACCUGCGGCGAAGGCGGGUUGCUGGGCCGACACUGACGCUGAGGCGCGAAAGCUAGGGGAGCGAACGGG
rnacentral:rRNA from 1 species